UACAGGGGGUGCAAACGUUGCUCGGAAUCAUUGGGCGUAAAGCGCACGUAGGCGGUUCGUUAUGUCGGAUGUGAAAGCCCUUGGCUUAACCGAGGAAGUGCAUCCGAAACUGGCGAGCUAGAGUACGAAAGAGGAUCGCGGAAUUCCUGGUGUAGCGGUGAAAUGCGUAGAUAUCAGGAGGAACACCGGUGGUGUAGACGGCUAUCUGGACCGUAACUGACGCUGAGGCACGAAAGCGUGGGUAGCAAACAGG
rnacentral:rRNA from 1 species